UACGGAGGGUGCAAGCGUUAUCCGGAUUUACUGGGUUUAAAGGGUGCGUAGGCGGCGAAAUAAGUCAGUAGUGAAAGGUUUUAGCUUAACUGAAAAACUGCUAUUGAUACUGUAUCGCUAGAAUCAGGCUGAGGUGGGCGGAAUGUGACAUGUAGCGGUGAAAUGCAUAGAUAUGUCAUAGAACACCAAUUGCGAAGGCAGCUCACUAGACCUUGAUUGACGCUGAGGCACGAAAGCGUGGGGAGCAAACAGG
rnacentral:rRNA from 1 species